rnacentral:rRNA from 1 species
UACGUAGGGGGCUAGCGUUGUCCGGAAUCAUUGGGCGUAAAGCGCGCGUAGGCGGCCAGAUAAGUCCGGUGUGAAAGCCACAGGCUCAACCUGUGAAUGCCGCUGGAAACUGUCUGGCUAGAGUCCGGGAGGGGCGAGUGGAAUUCCUGGUGUAGCGGUGAAAUGCGUAGAUAUCUGGAGGAACACCGGUGGCGAAGGCGGCAUCCUGGACCGACACUGACGCUGAGGAGCGAAAGCCAGGGGAGCAAACGGG